AUCCAGCUGACGAGUCCCAAAUAGGACGAAACAUGCGUCAAACUGGAU
rfam:Schistosoma haematobium scaffold3221_5, whole genome shotgun sequence.